UUUCCGUAGGUGAACCUGCGGAAGGAUCAUUACUGAGUGAGGGCCCCUCGGGGUCCAACCUCCCACCCGUGUUUAACGAACCUUGUUGCUUCGGCGGGCCCGCCUCACGGCCGCCGGGGGGCAUCCGCCCCCGGGCCCGCGCCCGCCGAAGCCACCUGUGAACGCUGUCUGAAGUAUGCAGUCUGAGACAAUUAUUAAAUUAAUUAAAACUUUUAACAACGGAUCUCUUGGUUCCG
rnacentral:misc_RNA from 1 species